AGCUUUGCGCAGAGGCGAUAUCGUAGCCAGUGAGGUUAAUCCGAGGCGCGAUUAUUGCUAGUUGAAAACUAUUCCCAAUACCCCGCUGAGACGACGUGAAAUACCGUCGGCUCCAGCAAUUUUUGUAAGCCUCUCACGAGG